UACGGGGGGGGCAAGCGUUGUUCGGAAUUACUGGGCGUAAAGGGCUCGUAGGCGGCCAACUAAGUCAGACGUGAAAUCCCUCGGCUUAACCGGGGAACUGCAUCUGAUACUGGAUGGCUUGAGUUCGGGAGAGGGAUGCGGAAUUCCAGGUGUAGCGGUGAAAUGCGUAGAUAUCUGGAGGAACACCGGUGGCGAAGGCGGCAUCCUGGACCGGCACUGACGCUGAGGAGCGAAAAGCCAGGGGGAGC
rnacentral:rRNA from 1 species